rnacentral:rRNA from 1 species
UGCAUGUCUAAGUAUAAGCGUUAUACAGUGAAACUGCGAAUGGCUCAUUAAAUCAGUUAUCGUUUAUUUGAUAUUGCCUUACUACUUGGAUAUCCGUGGUAAUUCUAGAGCUAAUACAUGCUUCGCCCCUCGGGGCGUAUUUAUUAGAUAAAAAUCAGCUUAUUGAUGAUUCAUAAUAACUCUCGAACCGCAUGGGGCGGUGGUUCAUUCAAAUUUCUGCCCUAUCAACUGUCGAUGGUAGGAUAGUGGCCUACCAUGGUUUCAACGGGUAACGGGGAAUAAGGGUUCGAUUCCGGAGAGGGAGCCUGAGAAACGGCUACCACAUCCAAGGAAGGCAGCAGGCGCGCAAAUUACCCAAUCCUAAUACAGGGAGGUAGUGACAAUAAAUAACGAUGCUGGGCCGUUUCGGUCUAGCAAUUGGAAUGAGUACAAUGUAAAUACCUUAACGAGGAACAAUUGGAGGGCAAGUCUGGUGCCAGCAGCCGCGGUAAUUCCAGCUCCAAAAGCGUAUAUUAAAGUUGUUGCAGUUAAAAAGCUCGUAGUUGGCCCUUGGGCGCGGCAGCAGGUCCGCGCAAGCGAGUACUGACCUGGCGCGCCUUUCCUCCCGGCAACGGGACGUUUACUUUGAAA